rnacentral:rRNA from 1 species
UUUUAUGGAGAGUUUGAUCCUGGCUCAGGAUGAACGCUGGCGGCGUGCCUAAUACAUGCAAGUCGAGCGAACGGACGAGAAGCUUGCUUCUCUGAUGUUAGCGGCGGACGGGUGAGUAACACGUGGAUAACCUACCUAUAAGACUGGGAUAACUUCGGGAAACCGGAGCUAAUACCGGAUAAUAUUUUGAACCGCAUGGUUCAAAAGUAAAAGACGGUCUUGCUGUCACUUAUAGAUGGAUCCGCGCUGCAUUAGCUAGUUGGUAAGGUAACGGCUUACCAAGGCAACGAUGCAUAGCCGACCUGAGAGGGUGAUCGGCCACACUG